rnacentral:rRNA from 1 species
GGGGCUCUUCGGACCUCAUGCUAUCGGAUGAACCCAGGUGGGAUUAGCUAGUUGGUGAGGUAAUGGCUCACCAAGGCGACGAUCUCUAACUGGUUUGAGAGAAUGACCAGUCACACUGGAACUGAGACACGGUCCAGACUCCUACGGGAGGCAGCAGUGGGGAAUAUUGCACAAUGGGCGCAAGCCUGAUGCAGCCAUGCCGCGUGUGUGAAGAAGGCCUUCGGGUUGUAAAGCACUUUCAGCGGGGAGGAAGGG